UAAUUUACAUUUCUAGAGAACAAGCUCUUUAUGGUACAUAAAAAUAAUCCUGUCAUACAGUGGCCAUUCAGAGAGGGAUAAAAACCUUAUAUAUGAAACUUUCACUAGUAACCUGAAACAUCACCAGAGAGACAGUUGGGUUAUCCUGCUUGUUUAGACAUCCACUUAUUCACUUGCAAUGCAGAUGAUCAGUUACUUGAUGCAAUCAUGAGAUGUGAUCCAGAAAAACUUAUUAAGGAAUUAUUUUGUCAGGGUCAGUCUCUCGCAACAAGGUAAGCUACUUUUUCAAUGUUUCUGAUUAGAGUAGAUCCUUGAUGUUUAUUAUCAGUGUCAUCAUCAUUAAUGAAAAUAGUAUGAGAACAUACAAGGAUGCAUAAGUGAGUAAUGGUGUACCAUUCUAACAUUUCUAAGAAUUUACAGGCCAGUUGUUGACACUGUAGUAUCUUCUCUUUGAACACUGGAAUUGAGCAACUUCAAAGAGUCAUUGGACGAAGGUCUUCGAAGACAAAGAUCAUGCUUUAUUCCCCCACAAAAGGAUUAUGUUUAGAUUUAAUGUUGAUGCCUCAGUUAAGUGAUCACUUUGAAAAUCAAUACAACAUUGUGUGCUUGGUUGGCUCAAUACCUCUCAGUCAACAUUAA
rnacentral:lncRNA from 1 species